GAUGAAGAACGUAGCGAAAUGCGAUACGUAGUGUGAAUUGCAGAAUUCAGUGAAUCAUCGAAUCUUUGAACGCACAUUGCACCUCUCGGUAUUCCGGGAGGUAUGCCUGUUCGAGCGUCAUUUGUACCCUCAAGCUCUGCUUGGUGUUGGGUGUUUGUUCCGCCUCUGUGUGUGAACUCGCCUCAAAACAAUUGGCAGCCGGCGUACUUGUUUCGGAGCGCAGCACAUUUUGCGAUCCAGAUCAACGUACAGCGGCAUCCAAGAAGCCUUAUUUAACGCUCUUGACCUCGGAUCAGGUAGGGAUACCCGCUGAACUUAAGCAUAUCAAAUAAGCGGAGGA
rnacentral:misc_RNA from 1 species